rnacentral:lncRNA from 1 species
ACUAUUGAUCUUCUGAUCAUAUGUCAGAAGGAGGAUCAUCUGCUGUGGGUGUUCCUGAUCUUUGAGCCAUGAUAAUGUUACUGGUUGGAUGUCAGGAGCAGGCCAUGUGGAUGAUUAAAAGAUGAAUAUCAUAUACAGCAUGGAUAUGUUGGACAAAAAGAUGAUUCACAUCCCAGACAGAAUGGAGCAGCACAUUUAUUAAAAGCCAGAAGCUAGAAGACGAGGAAAGAAGAGGUGGUUAAAGAAAGAUACAGUAACAGCAGUAAUAUCUAACAGGAAGGCUACAGGGGAAAAUACAGAAAUUCCAUAAAGAACAAACACUGUAACUCAAAACCAAAGCUUUGCUAGUCACUAGUGCCCGCUACAUCCUAACAGAUGCAGCUGGAGAGCCUGGGGUGAGAACAUGAGCAGUCUAUAAUCAGAAAAUCCCUUUGGGAUAAAUUGACAAAAAUAUAAACCACUCCACAAAGGAGAAAUUGUAAAUGAGUUGUUAUGUAAAACCUCCCAGCGAAAGAAAUAGUCCAGAAAGCUUGAAGAGAAACUGAAAUUUGAAAAAUCUACCUAAAAAGUUGUUCUUCCAGAUGGCAUGAAUCCAACAGUGAAGAAAUCAGAAUACGUUGCUUUUGUGAGGGGCAGCUGCUGAUUUUCUCUGAGCUCCGUUUCCAGCCUUCACAUGCUCUGCUAUUCAUCACAGGGUAAAUUCUGACUAUAGGAGGUACUGACAGAAGAUUAGGGAAGAACAGAGGGCUAAAUGUUUAUUGACUUCUUGAAAAAUGCUAUGUGUCUUGCCAGACUUAGCUUACAAGUUUGGUUAAAGAGAGACUGACAUGAGCAUAAAGGAAGGGACAUUGAAAGAGGCAGAGAUGAAGGAAGAAAUUGUAACUUACUCCUUUUAUCCCACCCAUCAAAGGAAAGACAAGUUGACAAGUAUUGAUUCUGCAACAAACUGAGAAGAAACCUGGCGAUUCACAACAGAGAGCUGAGAAAUCCUAAGUCUGGAUUCCAGCUAAAUGGGAGCAGACUAAAUAGAGCGGCAGUCGGCGAACUACAUGUAGCCCAUGAACAAAAUCCGGUCCAGCACGUGUGUUUUUUUUUACGGCCCACAAAUGAGUCUGUCUUUACAGAUGAAUGUUAAAACUGGGUUGACAAGAGAGAACACUCACUUUGAACCGCAACUAAACAAAAUAUUAUCACCUUUCCCCUCAAAAAAGGUUUUUGUUCUUCUCAUUAGUAAAUUUGUAUUAUGACAAAA